AUUAUUUUUAAAGCAAAUAAUGUAAACUUAAAUAUAACGUCAAUUAAAAUUCAGUUAAUUUUUUCCACUUGGAUGCAGCUUUUUCCUUUUCAGAUCAAUCUUUUUACUUUUUCAUUUAGCUCUGCUAUUUCGUAAACUAUUGAGCCAAGAAAAUCUUCGGAAAUGUGAAAACUUCAGUAUCCACUAUAUCUGCUUUUUUCGCCAAAUCCCUCCUUUAAGCAACCUUGUAUAGGCAACUGGGAUUGCGUAGCCUCCAUCAAAACUUGUGCAAAAUCACUGACUUUGUGAAGCAUUUCAGCUACAAUUAUUGUUCAACAUUCUGUGUUUAUUCAGAAUUGCAUUCUUUUAUGCCUGGUCUUCGGGGUGAAACUGGUGAGCCUUAAAUAGUACUGACCCUCUGGACUUGUCUCUUGUAGAAAUUAUAGUCUGGAAUAUAAAAAGGAAUAAUAUAAAAAAGCAGAAGCUCUGCAGGAAGUGCUGUAUUUGACCUGAAUCUGAAGCUUUUCACUGGAUCCUGAAAUCAACUGUAUUGCACAGCACCAGUACAACGAGAUGAGAUGGCCCAUCCAGCUCUGCCCACCCUGAGAAGGAUGAAUGAAGGAGAGGGACUUGACCAGACCAACUAGAUAAUGUCCCUGUCUGGGGAGAAGAGCGUGUCCAGAGCAACAGCUUUCAUGGCUGACCUACAAGACCAAAGCAUCUGUCCCAUGACUGACCAGCCACCCUGUAUUCUGAGCUGUAUUUUCGCCAUCUUUAUUAUCCUAGUUCUUCUCUCUCUCCUGUGUCUGUUUUGUCUAAUGCAGGAAAGUGACUAUCAUUCUAAAUUCAGAACUGAAUAAUAGAACACCAAGGGCUGUUUGAAUAAGAGAUGUUAUGUCUCUCGAAAAGACUGGGAUAGGUUUUUAUUAUUUUAUUAUUUGUUCUUUAUCUCAUUUUGCUUCUUUCCUUUUGUGAGUUUCAAAUAAGCUCCAGAAUAGUUCUUGAAGAGUUCCUCAGAUCUUGCACUUCUUGUUAUCAUUAAAUGUAGAACUGGUUGCCUAACUUAUUGGAAAUAAUGAUUGUUGUACAUUUUUGACAACUGCAGUGACUAAAUUAUAUUUUUUUAUUAUAAUUAAAAUAAAUUUCUCCA